AGUCGUAACAAGGUCUCCGUAGGUGAACCUGCGGAGGGAUCAUUAAACAACAACCCCAAGAGGUUACUUUGACUAAGAGGCUCUUAACCUCUCUAGUCAAUUAACCUCUUAAAGUCCCCUUGAAUCGAUUCGCUCUUCAAGGUGGAGUCUCUGUUAACCCAAUGUUAAUCACAUUGCUUUAGCUGUUCAGUCUUGUGCACGAGACUGUCAGCUUCUGCAAUACUACCUUUUUUACCUUUUUAUCUUUACUUGUCAAUUAAAGCAAACGUAGUCUUGCACUACGUUUGUUCUUAAUUACACAUUGCAUAAUUGAUAAAGGUGGAUAUCUUGGCUAGGU
rnacentral:misc_RNA from 1 species